UACGAAGGGGACUAGCGUUGUUCGGAUUCACUGGGCGUAAAGGGUGCGUAGGUGGCGGGGUAAGUCUGAUGUGAAAUCUCCGAGCUUAACUCGGAAACUGCAUCGGAUACUGCUUUGCUCGAGGGUUGGAGGGGGGACUGGAAUACUUGGUGUAGCAGUGAAAUGCGUAGAUAUCAAGUGGAACACCAGUGGCGAAGGCGAGUCCCUGGACAACUCCUGACACUGAGGCACGAAAGCUAGGGGAGCAAACAGG
rnacentral:rRNA from 1 species